rnacentral:rRNA from 1 species
AACGAACGCUGGCGGCAUGCCUAACACAUGCAAGUCGAACGAGACCUUCGGGUCUAGUGGCGCACGGGUGCGUAACGCGUGGGAACCUGCAUUUAGGUUCGGAAUAACUAAGAGAAAUUUGAGCUAAUACCGGAUGAUGUCUUCGGACCAAAGAUUUAUCGCCUUUCGAUGGGCAAGGGUUGGAUUAGCUAGUUGGUGGGGUAAAGGCUUACCACGGCGACGAUGCAUAGCUGGUCUCAGAGGGUGAUCAGCCACCCUGGGACUGAGAAACGGCCCCGACACUUAGACUAGGACGCGGCCGAGACUCCUACGGGAGGGAGCAGAGCCUAACAGUGCACCACGGGGGAAAUCAUGAUCCACCUCUGACCGGUGAGUGAUGUAGUCAGUGAGGUUGUAAUGCUCUUUUACCCGUGAUGAUAUUGACAGUACCGGGUGAGUAAGCCACGGCUAACUCCGUG